rnacentral:rRNA from 1 species
AUUGAACGCUGGCGGCAUGCUUUACACAUGCAAGUCGAACGGCAGCACGGGGGCAACCCUGGUGGCGAGUGGCGAACGGGUGAGUAAUGCAUCGGAACGUGCCCAGUAGUGGGGGAUAACGCGUCGAAAGAUGUGCUAAUACCGCAUACGCACUACGGUGGAAAGCGGGGGAUCGUAAGACCUCGCGCUAUUGGAGCGGCCGAUGUCCGAUUAGCUAGUUGGUGGGGUAAUGGCCUACCAAGGCGACGAUCGGUAGCUGGUCUGAGAGGAUGAUCAGCCACACUGGGACUGAGACACGGCCCAGACUCCUACGGGAGGCAGCAGUGGGGAAUUUUGGACAAUGGGCGCAAGCCUGAUCCAGCCAUGCCGCGUGAGUGAAGAAGGCCUUCGGGUUGUAAAGCUCUUUCGGCCGGAACGAAAUCGUCCGAGCUAAUACCUCGGAUGGAUGACGGUACCGGAAGAAGAAGCACCGGCUAACUACGUGC